rnacentral:lncRNA from 1 species
CAUUUGUACUAUAAAAAUUGUCAGUAUUCACCCAUUAAGAAAUUUAUACAAGAUUUAACAUUUCUGAGUGCAAAAUGAAAUGAGACAGGUUAUAAAGGGAAAUUAGAAAUGUCCUACUUACAAUUUUAAAUUAAAGUUUCAUAAUUAUAAUUUUAUGCACCAACAUUCUGCCAUAAAAACACAAAUACAGUGGAUUCAUCAUUACACUUGGGAACCGAUUUUCAUGGAUUUUUUGAAACAGGUAAAUCACAAAUUUAAAUGUUACCGGUACAAGAAUUACAAUUUUUUAAAGGGUUGAAUGUAGACUUUGG